rnacentral:rRNA from 1 species
ACGAACGCUGGCGGCGUGCUUAACACAUGCAAGUCGAACGGAAAGGCCCUGCUUGCAGGGUGCUCGAGUGGCGAACGGGUGAGUAACACGUGGGUGAUCUGCCCCUUACUUUGGGAUAAGCCUGGGAAACUGGGUCUAAUACUGGAUAGGACCAUGCCGUAGGUGGUGUGGUGGAAAGAUUAGUUUCGGUAAGGGAUGAGCUCGCGGCCUAUCAGCUUGUUGGUGGGGUAAUGGCCUACCAAGGCGUCGACGGGUAGCCGGCCUGAGAGGGUGGACGGCCACAUUGGGACUGAGAGACGGCCCAGACUCCUACGGGAGGCAGCAGUGGGGAAUAUUGCACAAUGGGCGCAAGCCUGAUGCAGCGACGCCGCGUGGGGGAUGACGGCCUUCGGGUUGUAAACUCCUUUCAGCCAUGACGAAGCCCUUGUGGUGACGGUAGUGGUAGAAGAAGCACCGGCUAACUACGUG